rnacentral:rRNA from 1 species
AGAAUCUUUCGCAAUGCCCGAAAGGGUGACGAAGCGACGCCGCGUGUGGGAAGAAGGCCUUCGGGUUGUAAACCACUGUCGGGAGUUAAGAAAUGCAAGGGUGUUAAUAGCGCCCUUGCUUGACUAAGGCUCCGGAGGAAGCUACGGCUAACUCUGUGCCAGCAGCCGCGGUAAUACAGAGGUGGCAAGCGUUGUUCGGAAUUAUUGGGCGUAAAGAGCACGUAGGCGGCCUUGAAAGUCAGUUGUGAAAUCCUUCCGCUUAACGGAAGAACUGCAUCUGAUAUUCCAGGGCUCGAGUGCGGGAGGGGAGAGUGGAACUUCUGGUGGAGCGGUGAAAUGCGUAGAUAUCAGAAGGAACGCCGGCGGCGAAAGCGGCUCUCUGGUCCGUAACUGACGCUGAGUGUGCGAAAGCUAGGGGAUCAAACGGGAUUAGAUACCCCGGUAGUCCUAGCCGUAAACGAUGGGCACUAAGUAGAGGGGUUUUGAUUAUCUCUCUGCCGGAGCUAACGCAUUAAGUGCCCCGCCUGGGAAGUACGGCCGCAAGGCUAAAACUCAAAAGAAUUGACGGGGGCUCGCACAAGCGGUGGAGCAUGUGGCUUAAUUCGAUGCAACGCGAAGAACCUUACCGGGGUUUGGCAUGGUAGAAGUAGGAACCCGAAAGGGUAACGAACGGUAUCCAGUCCGUAACUAUCACAGGUGUUGCAUGGCUG